UAUUAAUAUUUUGGCUAGUGCUCUCAUCUCAACCUCAGUUUUCCUGCUGGAAAUAUUAUUUCAAAGAUUAUUGCAUUGCAGACCACAAACACGGUCAAAACCAGCACUUUGGCUGAAAGGAGAGUGUCAGAUCAUCUUGAGCAAAUCUGUGGAGUUUUUAGAGUAAUCAGAAUUGGAUUGUGCACGUGUGUGUGUGUGUGUGUGUGUGUGUGUGUGUGUGUGUAUGAUUCAGUUAUGGGUUAGUUACAGUGAUGUCAUCAGCAGGCAUGAAUAGCUGCAGCACUAAAGGCUAAUGGAGCCGCCAGAUUCACUGCAGGGAGACGAGGACAUGCACACGUAUAUAUGCACACCGCAGACACACACACACACACACACACACACACACACACACACACUUUUCCCCACUUCCAUUUCUUGCUCACUCACAUAGAUCUAGCACUUUUGUGAUUUAAUAGAAAAGUGCACGGCGAUGUUUACGUGCGGAAACAUUAAGAGUGAAAACUGUAAUUAUUGCAAUUAGAGCGUCGCAUCCAUGAUUUCUCUCUCUCUCUUUUUUUUUUGUUCUUCAAUUAAGCUUUUUCCGGCCUAUUUCCCAUUAAAGUUCCUAUUAAUAACAUUAUCAUUAUUUACAGCAAUAGUUAUCGGUAACAAACCGUACGUAUUUGAAUAUACCAUCAAUAAUAAUGUUAAAGGUGCGACUUGUUAAACUGGCUAGUUUCUUCAUUUCAAGUUUUCUGGCCCAGAAAUGAAUUCAAUGUUCAAACUCAACACUGCUUCUCACUUCCUGUUCCGUAAAAGCCCAAGUAAUUUACAACUUUCGAUUUGAUACAUUCGUGUACUCGAUUCUCCCAGUUGUUCCUUCCUCCUGUUGUUUGGCUUAUGUAGGUUUUAUGCGGUUUGAGAAGUCAGAGGGGAAUCUUAAAGACACAACAGUGUGGUAGAUGUAUUAUGUAACUCAAAAUUCAGCAUGCAUGCCCCUUCCUAGGCUAGAAGACCUGCAUGCUGAUGCAGGAUAUGUCAGACUUAAAAGUCACUGAUGGCCCCUUUAAGGUAUUAGUUUAGUAUAUAUUCGUCAUUUCUCAUUGUGGACUUGUUUCCUAGUAAAUUAGUUCAUUUAAUGCAUUACGUAUUUGGAAAUUUCUUGCCAACUGUUAUGAAUGUAAUAUAAUAUAUGAUUACGCUACAGUGCGAUUAUAUUCUUGAAUCUGAGUGGUCAGAAGGUGUGCAUUACUUUUGUAUACUAAGAGCACUCUAUCUAUUCGGUUAUUGUUUCAAUCCUAACAGCUCAUACACAGGGACUUGUAUGGCGGAUGCUCCACAUAAUCCAAGACUAAUAAUGAACAGAUUUUAAAUAAGCACUCCAUACAGGAGUUCAGGGAGUUUUUUUGUGAUUGUUGCGGCCAAAAAUGCUUGAUUUUGCUGCGGAUUUUUCCAGAAUGAGUUUUAUUUUUGUGCUUUUUUUGAAUUGGCGAAAUUGCAAUCGCACAAAAUUGUCUUGCGCGGUCUUUCACAGUGGCGUUUGUUGCUAAUUGAGAACUUUUUAGCGGUACUCGUGUCCGAUGCACGUGAAUUCUAAGAGCGCUUUGGCCGAAUGCUCGUCGUGAUGAAGUCACGUGACGUGUCUCGGCCCAAAUCUGCAGAAAAUCUGCAGGCGUUUUAAUAAAAGAGGUUGCUUGAUUUUGCAUUCAUUACUACCAGCGCAAAAUCCUUGUCUCAUUAAGUUCUUGAGAGAGAAGGAGAUGCCGGUGAAGGGAACAGCCAGUUUACAGCCGCUCGUGGACGUUCCACAACAGUAUAUAUAACUAUAAACCGUUAAAAAAGCGCCACAUGUCGAUCGUUCAUUAAUUAAAUAUAGUAACUGUUGGCAAAUCUCUGAGGUAUAAGCAGAAUAAGACGCUUCAGAAGUGCACGUAUUAUUUUUGUAUAACAUCAUGGGUCAUGAUGUGUUAUUCCUUACAUAACAUACUUUUUUUCUUCUUCUUUUUUAUCUAAAUUUUUUUUUUUUUUUUUACAUUUUUAAGAAGCAACUACAACUUCAAACAAAAUAAAAUCAGAAAUCAAGUAUGACCAAAAACGGACAGCAGUACUGAUGUGCGUUUAUGUUGUUGAUGGAUUCCUGAUGAUAAUGACUCACUAUGCUCAUACAUUCAUGCAGCAGGAAGAGAAAGAAAAAAUAAAAUAGUGAAUAAGGAACUGGAAAUGUGUGUCCUCUUGAUGCCCUUUCGAAAUCCCAUCUCGGCCUGGUCUCAGAGAAGUGACUAAGAGUCCCAGUGCACCAGGCAGACAGACAGACAGACAGGCAGACAGACAGGCAGGCAGACAGACAGGCAGGCAUGCAGGCAGACAGACAGACAGGCAGGCAUGCAGACAGACAGAAGGAGGGUUGAGUUUAUGUGUGCUGUGUUGGAUGUACAGUGACAUUACGUUUCAGCCAUAAAUAGAUCCGUCUCAGUGAUUCUACCAUGCACCAUAGCUGGUGCAAAUGGGUUCAUCUUCCUGUCUCUGAAAACCUGUGUGUGUGUGUGUGUGGGUGUGUGUGGGUGGGUGUGUAUGUGUGUGCGCUAGUAUGUCUGCUCUGCUGCAGCUGAUGCUUUGAACUACUUCUUGUGGUUGAAAUAUGUGAAAAAUGCCACGUGUGUUUGUAGUGUUUGUGUGCACAUGGCCUUAAGUCACAUCGUGUUCAGACGCUCUACAUUUCCUCUAGACGAGAGCGAGAGUGUGUGUGUGUGUGUGUCCCAUGCCCUUAAUGUACGGUGUGUUUUUUUCCUCUCCAUCUUUCAGUGUGUCAUGUUGUUUUUAACUCUCAGCUGAGGCAAAACUGGGCCACAGAGUCGUCGACUCUGUAAAUGAAGACACUUCUAGUUCGUCUUCUCUCUUAUAUGCUCUGAGACUUGGCCCUGGAUGUCUCUUUUAAUCCACGUCUCUUUUAAUCCACAGUUGAGGCCAUGAAUUUCCAUACGCCUUUGCAGAAUCUGCGAAAAUGUUAAUAAUAAUAAUAAAAGAGAUCAGAAAAACUGUGUUCACGUUUUGUGAUCGAUGUUCACGAGUCCCUUGUUUGUCCUGCCCACUGUUCUUCAAGAAAAAGUCCUCCAGGAUCUGCACAUUCUUUCCUUUUCCAGCAUUUUCUGCAUAUUUGACCCCUUUCCGACAGCGCCUAUAUGAUUUUGAGAUCCAUCUUUUCACACUGAGGACGACCGAGGGACUCGUACACGACUAUUACAAAAGGUGCAAACAUUCACUGAUGCUCAAGAGAGCAACACGAUACAUUGAUAGCCAGGGGGGUGUCAACUUUUGAACAGGGUUAUCUGUGUAAAUUGUUAUAAUUGUGUCUUCUGGGAAACAUGUAAAUAUCUUCUGAAGGGCUGUACUAAUAAAAAAUUAAUUAUAUAAAAAAAAAAGAUCUUGACCUCAGCUGUAUGUGUUUAUCAAUUACGAGUUUCAACUCAUUUCAGUACGAAUUCACAGCACUGUAAUAUCGAAACAGGAAAAGUUGACACCACUACACUUGUCUCUUCAAUAAGGAAUAAAACACUUGCGGGUGUGCCUUUAUAUGGAGACAAACAACACUGGUGGUGACGUGAUGCGGCCCGGCACGACACGUGAUUACUGUUACCACCUCGCCGCUGAUUAUUUUCUAAUAGCAGCACGUCUACUUAGGCAACCUAUUUUUUUUUUUAAGUACAAACUUUUAUGGAUUUUUAUUUUAUGACUUCAACGUCUUAUGACAUCUCAUUUCUAAUAUAUUACACAAAUAUACAGGUUUAAGACGCACAAAUAUACACAUUUUCAUGAUCAAUUUCAGUUAAACCACACAUGCAGUGUACGAGUUUUGAUGGAAACACUUGUUUUAUCUGCUAUUUUGUACUACAACAAUUUUAUCUACUGUACCUAUUUGAUCUACUAAACCGUACUAUACUACACAAUAGUAUUACUAUUUUACCUACUGUACUGUACUAGAAUAUAAUAUACUAUAGCUCAGCUUAGGAGCAUGAUAGAGCAAAACUAUGUGCACUGAUGUGUUAGUCUCGAUCUCCCUAACGCACACUGUGAAUUUGGGGAAGAUCCGAGAACGUCAAAUUUUUCACCCAAAAUAGAAAAAUGGUAAGGGGUUAGUUAACCUUUGUGAUUUUUUGGGGGGUGAAAAAUUCAUCGUUCCCAGAUUCACACCAAAUUCAUACCGUGCGUUAGGGAGGUCAAAACGAACAGAAGAGACUGAUUCGUUUCAUUCUAUCAUGCUCCACAGCCGAGAUCUGAGCCUUUCUUUUCCAGUAUAUUACACUCAAUAAAAUAUACAGGUUUAUACACAAAUGUACACAUUUUAAUGGUCAAUUUCAGUUAAACUACACAUGAAGUGUAUGAGUUUUGAUUGAAAUAUACCGGAUUUAUCUGCUAUUUUGUACUAUACCAAUUUUAUCAACUGUACUGUAGUAUGUUUGACCUAUUUCAGCUAUUAUACUACACUAUAACAAUUUUAUCUACUAUAACGUAGCUAUUUUAACAGCUAUACUAUAUGAUACCAUGCUGUACUAUAUUUUACUAUCCUAGACUUUAACCAUUUUAUCUACUGUACCCUAUUUAAUCUACUAAACCGUACUAUACUACACAAUAGUAUUACUAUUUUACCUACUGUACUGUACUAGAAUAUAAUAUACUAUAGCUCAGCUUAGGAGCAUGAUAGAGCAAAACUAUGUGCACUGAUGUGUUAGUCUCGAUCUCCCUAACGCACACUGUGAAUUAGGGGAAGAUCCGAGAACGUCAAAUUUUUCACCCAAAAUAGGAAAAUGAUAAGGGGUUAGUUUAACCUUUGUGAUUUUUUGGGGGGGUGAAAAAUUCAUCAUACUCCGAUUCACAUAAAAUUCAUACCGUCCGUUAGGGAGGUCAAAACGAACCGAAGAGUCUGAUUCGUUUCAUCCGAUCAUGCUCCACUAAUAAAUGUUAUUUAUUUAUUUAUUAAAGAACGACAUGUACUUUUUCAUUGUCCCCUCUCUUUCUUUCCCAUUCUUGAAGUUAAUAAGACAAAAAUGCAGCUUGUCACGUUGCAGAGAAAACUCAGAACUCAAAGCGUCAACUCCUCGGCCCUGAAAAGUUUCCUCUUUACCCGCUGACACUGGAGACUCCUUCCAAAAAGGCUACAUUUUCUCCUUACAGAAAAAACUACAUCACCAUAUCAAUGAACAAUUACACACCUUAUAAAAUCUGCUUAUGUGAGGCAUCUACCGUACAAGUCGCUGCUGUUGAAUGAGCUGUUACUAUAGAAACCAUAGACCAUAGAGAGAGAGAGAGAGAGAGAGAGAGCGCUCAAUAAUAUAAUCCUUGCAGCCGGAAUUACUGUCAGACCAAUCAGAAUCGAGACUUCAACAGAGCCGGGGUAUAAAACAGAUAUAUCCAUUUAUCUUAAUGGAUAAUAAUUGAAAAGAAUAUCUGAUCCAUCUGCAAGAUCAGACCUGAAAAUGGUGAGAGGAUACACAGUGACUGAUACGGUUACAAAAAAAUGUUGUAACAUUUUUUAAAAAUCUGAACCAGAGGUGUAAUUAUCUCUGAUUUUGCAUCUGUGUUCUCUUCUUCAAUUACACACACACACACACACACACACACACACACACACACUCUCUCUCUCACUCAUUCGUGCAUACAGGGUAUUAAUUAAGAUCUUAAUCGUGGAGACGUGGCUCCUGGGUCUCUGAAGACUCCUCUCUCUCUCUCACACACACACACACACACACCCAAGGUUAUAUAACAGUGACUGAUGAGGGCUCUGGAGAGAGUCAGAGAUAAGCGGAGAGAGAAAAUAGCUUUUAAACAGAGGAAAUAAACAUAAUUUCUCACAAUAACGAUGAUGGCCGUGUGCUAGAGAUGUUUGACAGGCUAAUGCAGAAGGGGGCUGAGAGUCAGGAUGCUGUUAAACUCUUAAUACAACAGCAUGUAAAGCUGAUGGGCUUCGUUUUUGGUAAAGAGUAAACCCCUUCAACCAGCCACUUUAAUAGGAACACCCGUACUUCUGGUCAUUCAUGGAGUCAUUAUCUAAUCUACUAAUCAUGUGGAAGCAGCACAAUGCAUUAAAUCAUGCAGAUGCAGGUCAAGAGCUUCAAACAUCAGAAUUAAGGAAAGUUUUUGAGCUCAGUCACUUUGGCUGUUGCAUAGUUUUAUUGAUGAGAUAGGUCAGAUAAUCAAAUAAUAAUAAAAUAAUCACUCUUUACAACCGUGGUGAGCAGAAAAGCAUCUCAGAAUGCAGAACAUGUCAAACCGUGAGGCGGAUGAGCUCCAACAGCUGAAGAGCACAUCG
ensembl:lncRNA